CACAUAUGCACAUGGCCCCAGUGCUCCUGUGUGCACAAGGGUGCGUGCACCCUGUGCUCCAGCCCAGCCAGCCUGCCUGCCCCUCUGUUUGGUGCUGAGGAGCAGAGCAGGGAGCUGCGGGUCACCAACGCAGGCAGCCCCUUCUGGGCACACAAUAAGCACAUGGCCUGGGGAUCUCUGCCUGGUAUGAACAAAUCCACCAAAAAGCAAGUCCAGGGAAAGCCAGGCCAGGGUACUUCAAGUGGGGUGAAAUUCAGCUAAAGACAAUUGAAGAUAAAUACACCGCGGGAUAUUCCGAUGGUGAAAUCAGUUAACUGCAGAAGAAUCUUCAAUGGGAGCCAAGUACACGAGUCAACUAAAACUGCCUUUGUUGGACCCAGGAAACAGCCUGGAGAGCCCUCCAGCACCUACAGCAACACUCCCACAACCAGGGGUGGCAAGAGGAGGGAGCGCGCUCCAGAAGGUGACAGCUGCCUUGGAAAUCAGCGCCCCGAUGUCCGCAUUGCGCUUCUGGAAAUGAUAUGGCAAGAGACAAUAUAAUACUAAUGUGACAAAGCAAAGCACUGAAAAACUAUGUGAGGCAGGGCAGGUUGUUGUCAGAGACCUGCUUGGCUGCCUGUUGGGGACCGGUGGUGGUUGUCAGUGUCAGCGCCGAGCCGUCGCUCUAAUAACAAGUGGAUUAUCACUUGAUGUAAUUUGCUUUCAAGCUGCCGUACACCAGUCAGACCGAUUACAGUUAGGUACCUCCCAGCUCGCAGGGAGAUGUUCAGCAAACCCACAGCCAUGAGGCACCACAAGGUCUUAAUUUCAGUUUCAGUGUCUUUUUAGACGAAGGAAAGCAGUGGCUGAAUGGUGAGCUGGCAAUAAAUAUGGCAGCAAUAAACGUGGUGUCCAAGAGGAGGCAGGGCAAGCCAGUGAAUGAUUUGAGUAGAGGCAUGUGCCUUAAAAAUAUCCCAUACGUUACCUAGAUGUAAAGUCUGUAGGGUCAAACUUAGAGGUCCCUUAGAGAAAGUCCUCUAUUGAAAUUAAGUAGUUGUGCUCAGUCAGGAGUGAUCCACUGAAAUAAAAACUACAGAAGGUCUGUGAUGGCCACUGAAGUGAGGAGGCCUGUAAUUACUGCCAACAGUACUGGGGGGAGUUUGGUCCACUCCAACUGCAGAUGUCCCAAGAAAUGCACAUUCAGCCGCUCCCUGGAGAGGGUUCAAGAGCACUGCAUGGUCUAAUGGCUCUCACAAGUGGGAUUAGUUUCUCAACUUUUAGCCUAAUUUUUUUGUAUUGCUUAAUUUCAUCACAUUAUUUCUGAUUAAACGCUUUGUGGAAGGCAUA